rnacentral:tRNA from 2 species
GGAGAGGUGACCGAGAGGCCGAUGGUGCUCGCUUGCUAAGCGAGUGUACUGCCAAAAGCGGUACCGCGGGUUCGAAUCCCGCCCUCUCCGCCA